rnacentral:rRNA from 1 species
AUUGAACGCUGGCGGCAUGCUUUACACAUGCAAGUCGAACGGCAGCGCGGGCUUCGGCCUGGCGGCGAGUGGCGAACGGGUGAGUAAUGCAUCGGAACGUGCCCAGUAGUGGGGGAUAGCCCGGCGAAAGCCGGAUUAAUACCGCAUACGACCUGAGGGUGAAAGCGGGGGACCGAAAGGCCUCGCGCUAUUGGAGCGGCCGAUGUCGGAUUAGCUAGUUGGUGGGGUAAAGGCUUACCAAGGCGACGAUCCGUAGCUGGUCUGAGAGGACGACCAGCCACACUGGGACUGAGACACGGCCCAGACUCCUGCGGGAGGCAGCAGUGGGGAAUUUUGGACAAUGGGGGCGACCCUGAUCCAGCCAGGCCGCGUGCGGGAAGAAGGCCUUCGGGUUGUAAACCGCUUUUGUUCGGGAAGAAAUCCUCUGGGCUAAUACCCCGGGGGGAUGACGGUACCGGAAGAAUAAGCACCGGCUAACUACGUG